UGUCUGCGUCAUCAUGAGUCGCCAGUCAGAGCUGUCUGUUUGGGUAAACCUUGCGGCUGGUGUUGGGUUGACGUGUUUCCUCGCGGCAGGAGCUGAGUGCCGAAGGCGGGGUGGAUUGUGGUGGUGGUAUUGCUUCACGAGUGCUGUGCUGUGUGCAGUGGUGUGUGUGAGUGUCUACACAGGUGCAACCAAAAGUUGUGUGGUGCUGUGGAGGCCGAUUAGUGCCCUUGAUCCCCGUUGUUACGCCUUGGCUUCUGCAUCCACAUCUAUAAAGGUGUCUGAGGAUUUAAGUUAUCUGUGUUAUGGUUGAGUAAUUCCUGUUUUUUUGGUUUUUCAUUAGGUGCAUCCGAUACUUUUAUCGUUAAUAAAAAUCCAUACUAAUUUUA